rnacentral:rRNA from 1 species
GGACGUGCUAAUCUGCGAUAAGCGCCGGUAAGGUGAUAUGAACCGUUAUAACCGGCGAUUUCCGAAUGGGGAAACCCAGUGUGACUCGUCACACUAUCAUUAACUGAAUCCAUAGGUUAAUGAGGCGAACCGGGGGAACUGAAACAUCUAAGUACCCCGAGGAAAAGAAAUCAACCGAGAUUCCCCCAGUAGCGGCGAGCGAACGGGGAGGAGCCCAGAGCCUGAAUCAGCAUGUGUGUUAGUGGAAGCGUCUGGAAAGGCGCGCGAUACAGGGUGACAGCCCCGUACACAAAAGCGCAUGUGCUGUGAGCUCGAUGAGUAGGGCGGGACACGUGGUAUCCUGUCUGAAUAUGGGGGGACCAUCCUCCAAGGCUAAAUACUCCUGACUGACCGAUAGUGAACCAGUACCGUGAGGGAAAGGCGAAAAGAACCCCGGCGAGGGGAGUGAAAAAGAACCUGAAACCGU